rnacentral:misc_RNA from 1 species
GAUGAAGAACGUAGCGAAAUGCGAUACUUGGUGUGAAUUGCAGAAUCCCGUGAACCAUCGAGUCUUUGAACGCAAGUUGUGCCCGAAGCCACUAGGCCGAGGGCACGCCUGCCUGGGCGUCACACGCCGUUGCCCCCCCAUCUACUCCUUCGGGAUUGCGGGGGGGCGGAUGAUGGCCUCCCGUGCGCCUAGCCGCGCGGUUGGCAUAAAUACCAAGUCCUCGGCGACGCACGCCACGACAAUCGGUGGUUGCGAAACCUCGGUUGCCCGUCGUGUGCGUUCGUCGCGCAUCGAGGGCUCGAAAAAAUGCUCGGCUCCGGCUGGGCUUUCAACGCGACCCCAGGUCAGGCGGGGUUACCCGCUGAAUUUAAGCAUAUCAAUAAGCGGAGGA